GAACUGGAUUUUGUGUCUAUUUUUGACGAGAGAACUUCUGCAAAGUUGUUGGAAAGUUGUUCAACUACAUUGAAGCAGAAGGUUAUUCAACAAAGCAAAUGUCUUCACUCAUCCCAAGACCUCCAGGACCUGAUUGAUUCAGCAGAAAAUUCUGUGACAGACAAUGAAACAGCUGAAGCAGGAUGGAGCAGUGACAUUGCCUCUAUUCUUCUUUUGCUUCAUUUGAUCCCACCUUCACCACAAGGCCAAAAGAUACCUAGAAAGAUGUCUGCAUCUCAAGCAUAAAAGCACCUCAUUAUCUUCAUUCAAUUAAGCCGGAACCAACAUUCAAGAACGUUCGAGG